rnacentral:tRNA from 1 species
GCGGUAGUAGCUCAGUUGGCAGAGCGCGGGCUUCCCAAGCCCGAAGUCGCGGGUUCGACCCCCGUCUACCGCU